CAUGGAAUAUUAUGAGAUUCUUAGCAGCAGAAUCAUGGAGCAAUAUUUCGGUUAUUGCAUGACAAUGUAAAAUACAAAGGUAAUGAGUUACUAAGCAGAUAAACAUCGGCCACAGCAUUAAGCAUUACCAUAGAUACCAUUGUGCUUAUAUAAAUUUACCAGGAGGAACAUCACAUUUAUAAAUUUGUGGAAUAGAUAAGGCAUUUGCAAACUGGUAAAGGUAAAGGUAAAGAUACCCUACUGAUUGUUUUGAUAAGACAAAGGAGCAGUAAAGAUAAAGUGUGCAACCUGGUAACAUGGUUAAUUCAAGGAAAAAUUAGGUUUCGAUCCUUAGUUACCAAUGCUCUAAGAUUGAAGCCUUAUUAGUUUUCAGUUUUUUUUUUAUCAAAGUCCCUGGAUUUUGUACACAUAAGUAUUUUCAUGUCAGUUAUUUUAUUUUAUAACUUAAAAAUUGUAAUUUUAAAUUCAAAUAAAUAACUAAUUUAUUUUCAAAUUUCUUUGUUGAAAAACAAUUGGUAUUCAAAGCUGGGUAUUCAUCUCUCUCUCCUUUGCCCUCUCUCAAUGUUCUUCAUGCACUACUCAUUUGGAAAAUAACCAAUUGUAUAUAUACAAAACACACAGAUUCAGAGUACUAUGUAAUGGGUACAAUAUUUUUUUCAUUUGUAGGUUAUGUAUCCAUAGAAUGGAGGCCAAAAUGAGUUAGGGGUGAGGAUCGGAGAUCAGGAAAUACCAAAGAGCGACUGUUUUCGCUACCUAGGAUCUAUCUUGCAAAAGAACGGAGAAUUAGAUGGAGAUCUCAACCAUAGAAUACAAGUUGGAUGGAUGAAGUGGAAGAGUGCAUCCGGCGUGUUGUGUGACCAUUGUAGGCCAUUAAAGCUCAAGGGAAAAUUUUAUAGGAUGGCAGUAAGGCCGGCGAUGCUGUAUGGCAAAGAAUGUUGGGCGGUGAAGCAUCAACACGUACACAAAAUGAGUUUGGACAUGUGCAAAGAAGGCCUACUGACGCUCCGAUUCGAAGACGUGACUACGGGAUAGAGGUUUAGGGUUGAAGGGGUAGAGGAAGACCUAGGAAAACUUUGGAAGAGACCUUAAGAAAAGACUUAGAGUACUUGGAUCUAACGGAGGACAUGACACAAAACUGAGCGCAAUGACGUUCUAGGAUUCAUAUAGCCGACCCCACUUAGUGGGAAAAAGCUUUGUUGUUGUUGUUGUUGUUGUAGGUUAUGUAUCCAUAAGCCUUUUGAUCGAUCAUUCAGAAUCUACCCAUACUAACAUCGGUAUAUUAAUUCAUUAUAUGUACCCAUGAUUAUUGGAAUUGUACCCAUAUUAUAUAUGUGUGAAAUCUAUGGAUGGAUACAUUCUUUUAAAAUGCAACUAUACAUUGCUUCUAACAUUUUUGGCUCUUGGGAGGCUUUUUACAUGCCACAAAAUGUGGGACUUUAAAUCCCCUUAAAUUGUGGAAUUAAAUUGCUUUAAAUUGCUUUGUUAGAUAUUUUUCAAAACAAAUUUUGCUAGAUUAAAUUGCUUUAAAUGAUAUCAAAAACAGUUUUGAAAUGAAAAAGACAAAUGGCAUGGUGUCCUAAGAGUUGAGGACUUGAAUAAAAAAAUUAGAACACAUAAGGUUUUGGUCUAAAGUUUGAGUUGACUACAGAAGGUGAGUUGACUACGGACCGCUUCCAAAGUGUCCCUUAAUUCAUCGAUUACAGAUGACACAGAAUCUCGGCAAAAUGUCUUAUAUAAAAACGAGCAAGCAAUUCAACAAAGUAUAAUACAUACAUGCAUGCAAAUGAAAGGAACGUGGUGAUCUUAUCACAUAAACUUAAAAAUUAAACACAAGGAAACUGGUAUAUUUAUAUGACUUUUAAGAGCUAG
rnacentral:lncRNA from 1 species